GAAGGGGGCGGGGCCUCGCGGCCGGGCGCUUGGGCGGCGGAGGCUGCAGCUACCUCGGCGCCGGCUUGGCUCUAGGACGUGUCGGGCUGCCCCGGUCGGGGGCGGCUCCCUGCUGUCUCCAAGCCUAGCCGCCCGGCCUUCGGCAGUUGCAGGCAGACACACUGCCCUCCAGAAACGAUGGGUGUCGCUAGACCCAGCUGGGACUCUGCCAGGCUCCGGUGCUCAGUCUAAGAGAAGGGCUAUCUUCCAGCCCUGCUCUCCCUGCCUGUCAUGGCCACAUUCGGCUGCUGUCUGCUUGUCUGGGGACAGAGGGCACCCAGCCCCAGCCCUGAGAAGUUAAGCCAGUCCUUCUGGCUCAGUUCCACAGGGGCACUCCAGGCCCCAGGCCCCUUUCAGAGCAAAAGCAACUGAUGCCAUGGGAGAAGCCCCUGCCCACCUGUCCACUCGCCUGGCACUGCCCACUCUGAGACCCAUGCACUGGGUUCCCCUGGAGGUGCCAACCCUGUGAGUCCCUCCCUGUCCCCUGACGCUGAGAAGGCCCUGCCCACCCCCACCAUGUGUGAGGUGAUGCCCACAAUCAACGAGGGGGACCCCCUGGGGCCCCCCCAUGGCGCCGAUGCUGACGCCAACUUCGAGCAGCUGAUGGUGAACAUGCUGGAUGAGCGGGAGAAGUUGCUGGAGUCUCUUCGGGAGAGUCAGGAGACUUUGGCAGCCACACAGAGCCGGCUCCAGGAUGCCCUGCAUGAGAGGGACCAGCUCCAGCGCCACCUUAACUCUGCCCUCCCCCAGGAAUUUGCCACCUUAACUCGGGAGCUGAGCAUGUGUCGGGAGCAGCUUCUAGAGCGGGAGGAAGAGAUAUCAGAGCUGAAAGCAGAAAGGAAUAACACACGGCUGCUUCUGGAACAUCUGGAGUGCCUGGUGUCCCGCCAUGAACGGUCACUGCGGAUGACUGUGGUAAAGCGCCAGGCCCAGUCACCUUCGGGGGUCUCCAGCGAGGUGGAGGUGCUGAAGGCCCUCAAGUCACUGUUUGAGCACCACAAGGCCUUGGAUGAGAAGGUGCGAGAGCGGCUCCGGGCAGCGCUGGAGCGAGUCACCACCUUGGAGGAGCAGCUGGCAGGUGCCCACCAGCAGGUGUCGGCCCUGCAGCAGGGGGCAGGGGUCCGUGAUGGAGCAGCAGAUGAGGAAGGGACCAUGGAGCUGGGGCCGAAGCGCCUGUGGAAGAGCUCACUGUCCUUGGAGGAGGAUGCUGGCCGGGUAGAGGAGCUGCAGGAGCUCCUAGAGAAGCAGAACUUUGAGUUGAGCCAGGCCCGGGAGCGACUGGUCACCCUGACAGCAGCUGUGACGGAACUUGAGGAGGACCUGGGCACGGCCCGCCGGGACCUCAUCAAGUCAGAGGAGCUGAGCAGCAAGCACCGGCGGGACCUCCGGGAGGCUCUGGCCCAGAAGGAGGACAUGGAAGAGCGGAUUACUACACUGGAGAAGCGCUACCUGGCUGCUCAGCGUGAGGCCACAUCCAUCCAUGACCUCAAUGACAGACUGGAGAACGAGCUGGCCAACAAGGAGUCCUUGCACCGCCAGUGUGAGGAGAAGGCCCGACAACUGCAGGAGCUGCUGGAGGCGGCAGAGCAGAAGCUGCAGCAGACGAUGCGCAGGGCAGAGACGUUGCCAGAGGUGGAGGCUGAGCUGGCCCAGAGAAUUGCAGCCCUCACCAAGGCUGAAGAACGGCAUGGCAACAUUGAGGAGCACCUGCGGCAGCUGGAGGGACAGCUGGAGGAGAAGAACCAGGAGCUGGCACGGGUGCGCCAGCGGGAAAAGAUGAAUGAGGAUCACAACAAGCGGCUGUCGGACACAGUGGACCGGCUGCUCAGCGAGUCCAACGAGCGUCUACAGCUCCACCUGAAGGAGCGCAUGGCAGCCCUGGAGGAGAAGAACACGUUGAUCCAGGAGUUGGAGAGCUCCCAGCGGCAGAUUGAGGAGCAGCACCACCACAAGGGCCGCCUGUCUGAAGAGAUUGAGAAGCUGCGCCAAGAGGUGGACCAGCUGAAGGGCCGAGGGGGGCCGUUUGUGGACGGCGUCCACGCCAGGCCACACAUGGGCAGUGCAGCAGAUGUGCGGUUCUCCCUGGGUGCAACCACCCACGUAUCCCCAGGCGCACAUCGCCGCUACUCGGCAUUGAGGGAAGAGUCUGCCAAGGACUGGGAGACUUCUCCUUUGCCUGGGAUGCUGGCCCCGUCAGCCACCCCUGCCUUUGACAGUGACCUUGAGAUCUCCGACAUGGAUGAGGAUGAGCCAGGAGGUCUGGUGGGCUCCACAGACGUUGUCUCCCCCAGUGGCCACUCAGAUGCCCAGACCCUGGCCAUGAUGCUGCAGGAGCAGCUGGAUGCCAUCAACGAGGAAAUCAGGAUGAUUCAGGAAGAGAAGGAGUCCACGGAGCUCCGCGCGGAGGAGAUUGAGACGCGUGUGACCAGCGGCAGCAUGGAGGCCCUAAACCUGAAGCAGCCGCGCAAGCGCGGAUCCAUCCCCACCUCUCUGACGGCCCUGUCCUUGGCCAGCGCGUCCCCACCGCUCAGCGGCCGCUCCACACCUAAGCUCACCUCCCGCAGCGCAGCCCAGGACCUGGACCGGAUGGGGGUCAUGACCCUGCCCAGUGAUUUAAGAAAGCAUAGGAGGAAGCUGCUGUCGCCAGUGUCUCGGGAAGAGAACCGAGAGGAUAAAGCCACCAUAAAAUGUGAGACUUCUCCUCCUUCCUCACCCAGGACGCUGCGGCUAGAGAAGCUUGGCCACCCAGCCCUGAGCCAGGAGGAAGGCAAGAGUGCCUUGGAGGAUCAGGGCAGCAAUCCCAGCAGCAGCAACAGCAGCCAGGACUCCCUGCACAAAGGCGCCAAGCGGAAGGGCAUCAAGUCGUCCAUUGGCCGCCUGUUUGGGAAGAAGGAGAAGGGCAGACUGAUCCAGCUGAGUCGGGAUGGAGCCACAGGCCAUGUUAUGCUAACAGACUCCGAGUUCAGUAUGCAGGAGCCUAUGGUGCCUGCCAAGCUGGGGACCCAGGCAGAGAAGGACCGGCGACUGAAGAAGAAACACCAGCUGCUUGAAGAUGCCCGCAGAAAAGGAAUGCCCUUUGCCCAGUGGGAUGGUCCGACUGUGGUCUCCUGGCUGGAGCUCUGGGUAGGGAUGCCUGCCUGGUACGUGGCAGCUUGCCGGGCCAACGUCAAGAGUGGUGCCAUCAUGUCCGCCCUGUCGGACACAGAGAUCCAGCGGGAGAUUGGCAUCAGCAAUGCCCUGCACCGGCUCAAGCUCCGCCUGGCCAUUCAGGAGAUGGUGUCACUGACCAGUCCUUCCGCCCCGCCCACCUCCAGGACUUCUUCUGGGAAUGUCUGGGUUACCCAUGAAGAGAUGGAAACUCUGGAAACAUCUACUAAAACAGACAGUGAGGAGGGCAGCUGGGCUCAGACCCUGGCCUAUGGGGACAUGAACCAUGAGUGGAUUGGGAACGAAUGGCUGCCCAGCCUGGGGCUCCCGCAGUACCGCAGCUACUUCAUGGAGUGCCUGGUGGACGCCCGCAUGCUGGACCACCUCACCAAGAAGGACCUGCGGGUCCACCUGAAGAUGGUGGACAGCUUCCAUCGAACCAGUCUUCAGUAUGGCAUCAUGUGUCUGAAGAGGCUGAAUUAUGACCGGAAGGAGCUGGAGAAGAGGCGAGAGGAGAGCCAGCACGAGAUCAAGGAUGUGCUGGUUUGGACCAACGACCAGGUGGUUCAUUGGGUCCAGUCUAUUGGGCUCCGGGACUACGCAGGAAACCUUCAUGAGAGUGGUGUGCAUGGAGCCUUGCUGGCCCUGGAUGAGAACUUCGACCACAACACGCUGGCCCUGAUCCUCCAGAUCCCCACACAGAACACCCAGGCACGUCAAGUGAUGGAAAGAGAGUUCAAUAACCUCUUGGCUUUGGGCACAGACCGGAAGCUGGAUGACGGGGAUGACAAGGUGUUCCGCCGCGCGCCCUCCUGGAGGAAGCGCUUCCGGCCGCGGGAGCACCACGGCGGCGGCAUGCUCAGCGCCUCGGCAGAGACCCUCCCGGCGGGCUUCCGCGUGUCCACCCUGGGGCCCCUGCAGCCCCCACCGGCCCCGCCAAAGAAGAUCAUGCCUGAAGCCGGGACGGCGGGGGCGCAGAGACUGGAGACCUCCACGGUUCGGACCUACUCCUGCUGACCCCCCACCCUCCCGCCCUGGGUCUGACGGGGGUGUGCCCGUGGCUCGGGCUCACUCCCACUAUCUCUACGGACACAUGCUCUCCGCCUUCCGGGACUAGCCGCAGCCCCCAGGGCGGGCUUCCUCCUCCUGGGUUUCACAGGCUGCAGACCCCUCCUGCUCGUUCCCCUUCCUUCCACGGCUCCCAGUCUCAUCCGUGACUUUCCGGUUGCCCUGGAUCUCAGAAUAUACUCGUCCACCUCCUCUGCACCCCACAACCCCCAGUCCCACCAUGUGUCCUUUGUAAGUGUGGUGGAUGUGGCUGGGGUCUCCUGGUAUCGUGGAGGCACCCAGGUUGUCCACGCUCGGUAUUCUGGGGGAAGGAAAGAAGGGCAGUCCAGGGUGGAUGUGAAGCCACCCUUCCUCUUCUGGAGCCAGUCUGGUCUGCACUGCAACCUCCACCAGGACCAGGAUCCUGGGCCACAGGAUGGGAUGGUGCUUCCAAGAAAGGGUCAUUUCACAGGCUGCCCUGCUUGGGCUAUUCAACCUUAGGGUCUCUGUCCACGUCUGGCUGUGCCAAACAGUCUGGCAGCUGGUUUUGGAACCCCCAGCAUCACUACUCUCCCAACCUAUCACCAUGACUUCAGUUCCUGUCCCCAUUCUUUUGGGGACAGGGAGGGCCUGGGAGGGGCUACAGGAGGACCCCAUUCUCCCUAAGGAUGGUGAGGCUGGGAGGAGGAAGGCUGAGGUAGAGAUUCCAGGCCCUGGCAUAAGCUGAAUCCCAAAUGUGGGUUUGGGAAGAACCGGAGAGAAAUGGAUCCCUGAACUCUGGGCCAAGGGUGAGGAAGGGGAAAUUCUAAGCCCCUGCCCUAUAAGAGGUAGGCAGACCAGGCAGAGGGAGAGCCAAUGGCCUCUGGUAGCCUUAAGCCCAAAGGGCAGUGGGAAUGUCCCCUGCCCCAACCGUCGGGUGGAGCUCCUGCUGGGCUGUGGGGAGGGGAGGUUGUGUGGAUCUUGGCUCUGGGGCAGAACGGAUCUGACCGUGCAUUGCUGACUCUGUUUCCAGUAUCCUCUCCCCUCUUCUCCCCUCUGCCUCACUUCUUUAGUAACCCCAGCCCUAUAAAAAUGAACCUGAGGGGUGGAUUGAAUAUACAUUGACCCUAAAGUCAAGUAUGGGGAAAAGGCAGACUGAGGCAUCCUUUCUCUGACAUCCCAGGAAGAAAAUAGCUUCUCCUGCAGUGAUUCAUGUCCAAGGUCCAGGAGAUCCAGUGUUGGUGAAGGCAGCCAUUCUCCUGCUUAUCCCCAAGAUCACCCACCCAGCCCUAACCCAGGCUCUUUUGGUGUGCAGGGACUGCCUCCUCCCAGAAUUCCUAAGAUCCACCCAGCUUCCACCAUGUUCAUUGCUUUCCCCAGCAGCAUGGUGAGAACUGGGGCUGAGAGAUACAGGUCCUGAUUUGGUAGGAAUAUUAUUCCCAAGAAAUUCCCCCUCCUCACCUACUCCCUCAUCCUGCCAAGGUGCCUGAAUACGUUCAAGACUUAUGUUCAGGAUGGGAUGAUGGACCCUAGGGCUUCAUCAAAGUGAGAAGAAAGGAAAAGCAUCUGGCACGUGUUUCUUGGAGAGGGGCCAGGGCAGUGCCAUCCUACAGGUGGCUGGAGCAGCUGCUUUGCAACCCGAUCACCUUGAGUUCUGAGCAGGGAUAGGCUUGCAGGUGAGAUAAUGGGCCAGGGCACCCAGUCCAGAAGGAGCAGUGGCACCUGGGCAGUCCCAGGGCUUAGAGCUUGCUGCCCCUUUUCGGUAGAGGAGAGGCUCAUCAGUGGUGUGGCGGGGUGGGCUCUCCCCUAGGCUUGGGCAAGGCAGCCACCUGCCCUUGCUCUCCCUUAUUGUUCCCCGGCCUCCCUGCCAUCAAGUUCUGGGAGUGGAGAUGGAGGGAUUAUUGAGCAGAAAAUGAGUUGAAUGGAGAUAAGGAGCUCCCAUCCCUGGGUAUUGGAUGUUAAGAUGAUAGAGAUUCCUAAGAUUGGUGGAGGUGGGCACUGCACAGCCAUCUGACUCCAUCAGGGUGCUCUUGAUGGGCUGGCUGUAUGGGACACUCAGUCCCAGCCUCUCCCCUCUACAAAUCCUGCCACUUUUGGCCAUGUUGUAAUGCAGCAGCUGUGCCAGGGAAGCUGGGUCCAUUCAGGGCACCUUGAGAAUUAUUACAGGGAGGUGAUGAGAAGCGAAAUCUGUGCCAACAGUGAUGGAAGGCUGUUGUCUUGGUGUGUCCCUUGCCUCAUAGUCAAUAUAUUUUUUUCUUUGGAGAGUCACCAGUGACCCGAGCCCUCCACACCAGCCUCCUGUAUCUCAUCAGGUCCCUUCUCAGUACUGUAUUGGCUCAGUGCAUCAGGAAUGGGUGUAUGGGUGUGUGUGGGUGUGAGUGUGAGUGUGUAUAUACCAAUAAACAACCUGGUUUUAAGAUAAUGUA